rnacentral:rRNA from 1 species
AGUGAACGCUGGCGGCAGGCCUAACACAUGCAAGUCGAGCGGCAGCGCGGGGCAACCCUGGCGGCGAGCGGCGGACGGGUGAGGAAUACAUCGGAAUCUACCCAGUCGUGGGGGAUAACGUAGGGAAACUUACGCUAAUACCGCAUACGACCUGAGGGUGAAAGCAGGGGACCGCAAGGCCUUGCGCGAUUGGAUGAGCCGAUGUCCGAUUAGCUAGUUGGUGAGGUAAAGGCUCACCAAGGCGACGAUCGGUAGCUGGUCUGAGAGGAUGAUCAGCCACACUGGAACUGAGACACGGUCCAGACUCCUACGGGAGGCAGCAGUGGGGAAUAUUGGACAAUGGGCGCAAGCCUGAUCCAGCCAUGCCGCGUGUGUGAAGAAGGCCUUCGGGUUGUAAAGCACUUUUGUCCGGAAAGAAAUCCUGUCGGUUAAUACCUGCGGGAUGACGGUACCGAAGAUAAGCACCGGCUAACUUCGUGCCAGCAGCCGCGGUAAUACGAAGGGUGCAAGCGUUACUCGGAAUUACUGGGCGUAAAGCGUGCGUAGGCGGUUCGUUAAGUCAGAUGUGAAAGCCCCGGGCUCAACCUGGGAAUUGCAUUUGAUACUGGCGGGCUAGAGUACGGUAGAGGGUGGUGGAAUUCCCGGUGUAGCAGUGAAAUGCGUAGAGAUCGGGAGGAACAUCUGUGGCGAAGGC